CCUGGUUUCGACGUGGGUUCGGAAUCGGCGUGGUGCAUGUCGAGCUUGAAUGGCGCUCGUAAAUCUGCAUUCAAAAAACUAACUGCAAACGACGAACGUUUCGCACUCGCCGCUUAAUAACCGGUGAGCCUUGCAACAGCACGCUGAUGGGCUGGGCAAGGGGAUCGUACCACCUUAGCCAACGCCUGCCAGUGCUUUACCGCCUUGGCAGGCGUUUUCUUUUGUCCCAUUGUUGGCCUGUUUUGGCCUGGCUCAGCGUUACGUGGAUUGGGCCAGAUACUCACCCUCUUCGCUGCCGACAUGGGUCUCUGCUUGGCAAUGGCUGCCAUGGAUCCCGCGUUCAGAUCCGCAUCGCGGAU
rnacentral:tmRNA from 1 species